rnacentral:misc_RNA from 1 species
AACUUUUGGCAACGGAUCUCUUGGUUCUGGCAUCGAUGAAGAACGCAGCGUAAUGCGGUAAGUAGUGUGAAUUGCAGAAUACAGUGAAUCAUCGAAUCUUUGAACGCACAUUGCGCCCUUUGGUAUUCCUUAGGGCAUGCCUGUUCGAGCGUCAUUUAAACCUUCAAGCUCAGCUUGGUGUUGGGUGACUGUCCGCCGCCCUCGGGCGCGUAGACUCGCCUCAAAAUUAUUGGCAGCCGGUACAUUGGCUUCGAGCGCAGCAGAAACGCGAACUCGAGCCCGUUGUAUUGGCUCCCAGAAGCUAUCUUCACAAUUUUGACCUCGGAUCAGGUAGGGAUACCCGCUGAACUUAAGCAUAUCAAUAAGCGGAGGCU